rnacentral:tRNA from 1 species
AGCGGGUGUAGCUCAGGGGUAGAGCACAACCUUGCCAAGGUUUGGGUCGAGGGUUCGAAUCCCUUCGCCCGCUCCAG